rnacentral:rRNA from 1 species
UACGGAGGGUGCGAGCGUUGUCCGGAAUCAUUGGGCGUAAAGGGCGCGUAGGUGGCGCGACAAGCGUGCGGUGAAAGCUCGGGGCUCAACCCCGAGUCGGCCGUGCGAACUGUUGUGCUUGAGCACUGUAGAGGCAGGCGGAAUUCCAGGUGUAGCGGUGAAAUGCGUAGAUAUCUGGAGGAACACCGGUGGCGAAGGCGGCAUCCUGGACCGGUAUUGACGCUGAGGAGCGAAAGCCAGGGGAGCAAACGGG